CGGCUUCUAGUGAAGGCUGACCGAUUGUGGAAGUGGAAGGUUGGCUGGCCGGGCUUCUACUUGUUCUUCAGUCGCUAAGUCGUGUCUGACUCUUUGUGAUACCAUGAACUGCAGCACGCCAGGCUCCUCUAUCCUCCGCGAUCUCCUGGAGUUUGUUCAGUUGAAUCCUCCAGUGAAAACUCAGGAGGAGAGAAUACAGAAUAAGAACAGCAGAAGGUCCAUUGCAGCACCUAUUAGGCAAAUAGAAUGGGCUCUAUCCUUUCAUCCCAGAGGGAGAAGACCUGGCAGUGUUUCCCAUCUAUUUAAACGCCUAGAACUCAGUCACACAGCUACCCCCAGGACUGGAAGACCAUCAGACAUACUGUUAACCAAGCGUUUGGAUUCCAUUCUUUUUCCAGUACUGUAUUAAAAUUACAGGUAACUUGGCAAAUAUGCUUUCAUCCAGCAGCAGAGAUUUGUUAUUUAAUCUGGUUUAAAACUUAAAAUAACUCUAACUAGUAAGCUAAAACUUAAAAUUAUUGUGGUAUCCAAGGUAGUGGAUCUCAAUCUUGGCUACACAUCAGAAUCACCUGUGGAUUAAAAAAAAAAAAACCCAACAACAGUAAUUCUGAGUUAAUUAGUCUGAGGUGGGACCUGGCCACUGAGAAUUUGGAAAGUUCCCCCAGAUCACACUAAGGUGUGGCUAAAAUUGAGCUGCUUAUUUAGGGAAUGGAGUUCAAGUUGGUGAUUUGAUUUGAUUUUCCAGUUAAAUGAGGAUUAAACCCUGUAACCUUCUGGUUCCUCUUUUUGUGGUCAGCAGAAUUAGAGAAUUAAAUGUAAAGUGCACUUGUUUCUCUAAGUAGAAUGUCUUAGAUAUAACUGUAUCUCUCUUAUUGCUUGAGACUUCCUGCAGUGAGUUAACAUCAUUACAUAUUGAAAACGGUUUAAAUUUGAACUAUAAGCUUUCAAAUGUAUUCUGGAAAAAGUUCGCUUUUUUUUUUUUUUUCCAAUUUGUUACUAUUUUGUGCAAUUUUCCUCUUUUUCAUAAAAAUAAAGUGUUAGGUGUCAGUUCCCACACAUCUCCCCUCCCUCCAAAUCAGUUCUUUAAAGUUUUAACUAAUGGAUUUUUAACUAACGAUGUUCUUUUUGUGUUUCCCAAUGCAUAAGCAGGGAUAAAGGGCAUGUUAUUGAUGUAAAACAUAAGUGGGACUUUGGCAACGAUUGGGUUUUAUUUUCAGGACCUAUUAGAAUCAUAAAUCCAUGGAAACGGAGCAGUUGGCAACACAUUUUCCUUUAGUAAAAAAGAACUGCUUCUGAGUAGAGUGGAUUAUGUCUUUCAAUACACAUUUGCUAAAAAGUGCACAAAUAUAAACAUUAAUUGUGCAUUCUGAAUUUCCAGUUACUGUGUAGUAGACAUAAAAUUGACCUUGUCCUAGUUUUACUUUCUUUGAUGACAUUCUUAAGAGCCACAGAAAAAUCAGAUCAAUAAGAUGGUGGCUCAGUUGGUAGAGAAUCCACCUGCAAUGCAGGAGACCACCUGCAAUUCAGGAGACCCAGAUUCAACCCCUGGGUCGGGAAGAUCCCCUGGAGAAAGGAAUGGCAACCCACUCCAGUUUUCUUGCCUGAGAAAUCCCAUGGACGGAAGAGCCUGGCGGGCUACACUCCAUGGGGUCGCAAGAGUUGGACAUGACUUAGUGACCAAACCACCAGCACCACCAAACAUAAAAUUGACCUUGUCCUAAUUAUACUUUGUUUGGUGACACUCUUAAGAGCCACAGAAAUAUCAGAUCAAUAAGAUGAAAAUGUAUCUGAUUGUAGUAUAAAAUACCACUUUUAAUGAAAGAUCAUAUCAAAGAUUAGUAUCACUUAAAGCCCAUGAGUCAUACUUAACACUGCACUAUCAUAGAACAUAACUCCUCAAGCAACGGGUACCAGGUUUUAGCAAGGAUGGGAACAAUGAACAUGUGUUUGGUUUAACUUUUUGCUGAACUUUUGUUUUCAGGCUUUAUGGAAGGUAUUUCCUCUGCAAAUUAGUGACUGGUUUUGACUUGUGAUUUCCUUGAUUUCCGAGCAAGCUCAUUAAUAAAUGAAUCAUUUUAUAACUAUUUCUCCCAUUUUACUUUUAAAAACUAUAGAAAUGUUAAGUCAGUACUUAACAAUGAUGUCUAGCUCUAUAUACCUACUCAGUUUUCCUCCUUAUUUCAAGAUGGAAAAAAGAUUAACCAAUAACCUAAACCCAUUAGGUCACUUUGAAUUUUCCAACAGAUGCCAAGAUAGAAUUAGAAGGCCAAGACAUGUAUUGGGGGUGGGAAGCCUAUGAAAGACAAGGAGAGAGAGAACAGGAUUAAGUCAGAAGCCUCAGGCCACAAUACUGAUCAAAUCCUGAUCUAAAGGGACUGAUGAACAGGAGAAAGGUGUGGUAAAAAGAUCUUUUGAUUGAAGGUUCUGAGACUCUGGUAAUCAUACCCUUGUAAGGUGAAGACUACUACAGAGAUCCUUUUGCAGUGACCAUGGGGGCUAAGAAGUACUGAGAGGCGCCUGAGUGGAUCACCUGGGCCCUACAGUGAUCGCACACAUCCCUGAUGUAGAAAAGCAGCCUUACCUCUUCC